UAUAUAUAUAGAAAGAGAGAGAGAGUCCGACUACUAUACUCUUAUGAGUAUAGAGCCUAUUGUACUCAUAAGUUUUUGGCCAUUUGAUCUACCUUUUAAUCAUUUUCAUCCGUUAGAUUAUACUAUUCAACCAACCACCCACUCAACCCUAGGGGGGCCACUAUCAACUUAACCGUAACGACUCUUAUCCUAACCGUAUAUUUUUUCAUCUGAACGGUUGAAAAGUUAUAAGUACAAAGGGCUCUAUACUCAUAUGAGUAUAGUAGCUCCAACUUUUUUAUAUA
rnacentral:lncRNA from 1 species